rnacentral:lncRNA from 1 species
GCAGGAGCACAUUGAUAAACUGAUGAUUAAUCAACUCAAAUCCUAAUACAACUUUAGCUACUAACUACGGGUUGAGUUACUUCUACUAAAAUACAAUAACUCUUACAAAUUUUGAAGUAGAUCGAAACAAACCAACAGUCUACAAAUAAAGCACAAUAAUCCAACAUAGUCCAUAGUUUAUAAAGAAAUAGUCCAUGGUUAUUAAUCAUACAAGUCAACACUUGGCUACUUUAAACAACUACAUUUUUUUAUCUAAUUACUACAAGUAUAUAACUAUCCAACAGGUAUAUUCCAGGAUCCACAAUCGAGUAGUUUUAUUCCAGUUUUUUCAAGCUCGGAACUACAGUAGAGAUUCAAAAUGUGUACUUGAAAGUUGAAUCACAACAAGAAGAAAGAAGAAGAUCAGCAGCAGCAGAUAACACAGUAACAACAGCAGUACACCAGAAAAUUCCAACAGCAAACAACCAAUCAAGUUCAACACCCAGAACAGUUUGAAAACCAAAUGAAGCCCAUAGAAGAGCCCCAACAGAAUACCAAAACUCGAAAAUGAACCCAAGGGACUGAAGUUAAACAAUCAACGGAUCCCCAACUGUCUCAAACCAAACAGACUCGGAACAAAAAGAACUGAGGAACUGAAUUCAAACCCAAAACUUGAAAAACAAUACUCUCAAAAAGGCUCCUGAAAGCUGAUUCCCAAAACCUCUCUCUAAAACUGACCCUUGAAGUUUGUUCAGCUCUCUUGUAUUAUUUUUGGACUCUCAAUAUGUUCUCCUCAAUUUCAAUACUCUUUUCCUAGUUCUAUGGGUUUUUUGACUCUCAACUCUUACUGCUAGUUCAAGUUCUCUUAAUGUCUCUACUGACCUCUAUAUUUAAACCCAACCUUUUAAAACCCUUUUCAGCCCUUCUUUUUCUUUUACAGUUGUAAAAGAAAACCUUUUGUAUUACUACACCCAUGCUUUUUUUACUUUCCAGCUUUCUAUAUUCUUCUACUAUGUGAACCCUUUUAGCUUUUUAUUUAUUACUUACUAUUUUUUAUUGCCAAUUCGUUAAAAAGCAACAGAUUAUUACAGUCAUAACCCAUUAGAGCCCUACUUAUUACUUAGUGGCCCCCUACUAAUAUGUCUUGUUCCCCAAUUUCAUUAAACAAAUACAAUAGUUUAAUUGUCCAUUAGUAACUUACUGACAGCCAUCAAAUUAAAGCAUUUUUAAAGUUUUGGCAGCCUAAAUUACCCCUGCGAUUCACUGAAACUACUGACCUAUCCAAAUCUUCCUUCACUCUGUACCAAAACCACAACUACAACCAAUUCCAUUUAUCAAUCAAUUAGUAAUGCAAAGUACAAGAUCAAAUCAAAUAACAUUAACAAUGAUGGCUAACAGCUCAGUGCAACACAUAUUGAGCUAACUAUAUUGGGGAACCAAUCAUAUUUAGCUUAAAACAAGUGAAGUGAAACCAAUUAGAUGAACAUACACUUAGUUGGAUUGGAAAACAACAGAAGAAACAUCCAGAAGAGCUUUAAGGGGAUCGACAGAUUCAUGAUAAAAAAUGAUUAAUCAAUUCAGUUCAAAAAUGAACUGAAUAUACCAACAGGCUUAGUUCUAUGUUCAACUGUGACAACAUGCUUAUUUCAAUACAAGCAUUAGAACAGAAAAGAAACAGGUGGGGAAACCUACUAGAAUGAACCAAAAUUAAACUAUUAUCACGUUACUCUAACAUUCAAACAUAAUAGACUAAUCGACGACACUUAUUCAAUCGAUUAAAAAUGUUAUAACCUAUAACUAUCAAUCAGAAAAUUUGGACGAAGAAAAAGGUCCAGAAGAGAAUAAGAAGAUAAUUGACAAAAAUAACGGAAAAGCAAUCGAACAAAAUACAAUGAGACCUAAAAAGAUAAACUACAAAAAUAGAAUAGACAAAGAGAGGAAAUACCUCAAAUUGAGAAACCAAACGGACUUUGUCCGCAUCAAAGCUUCUUCUCAAACUCUUUUGAGCACAAAAUGGACCUUAAUCUAGUGUUCUCGAUUGAGAACACUCGACUAAGGUCAGUUGUUAACCUCAAAUUUCCCCUAAUCUCGGAUAGGUUUAGUUUUUUGUUCUGUUAGAGUUCUUUGGUUUGAUUUGGGAUUCGAAUAGUUCCAACGAGAUUCAAACAAAACUAAUGGAGAUUAGGAGGUUGAUUGGUUUGAGUUUGGUAGUGAAUGGGUGAACUAGGGUUAGGGUCUGAUCUUUCAAACUAUUAUUGGAGAAUAUUAGUGAUGAUUCGAGGAAAAAAGGGUAGGGAUUUGGAACGAGGAAGGAAUGGAGGUUCAGUGGUGUGAUUUUGGUGGACGGCGGCAUUGUUGCCGCCGGGUUUCAGGCGAAGGAUUUUGAUGGCGGCUAGGGUUUCAAGGGGUUGUCUCUGAGAAUUCUGAGAGAGACGAUAAGGCAGGGGGGGUUGUGUUUGGGGGGACUGGGUAGGAGUUUAGGAAUAUAUACUAGGUGGGAUUUUUAAUCCUGGCCAUUAGAUCUACUAAGAUCAACGGCUAGGAUAUGGGAGGUG